CAAUAGCAUACCAGCUAUCAUUUUAUCAUAUCACUCAGCACUUGAUCAAUGACAUACAGUACUGUUUGUUUCUAAUCAUUAUGAGUCAAGUAAAAAAAAAAAAGCGAUUCUCCCCGUAAAAUAUGUUGUUUUACUUAAAUAGUCAACAGAGCAUUCAUUUCUGAUACUUAGCCAGUUUAGGUGGAAUUGAACACAUAAAUCAGUGAUCAGGCCUGGGUCCUAAAUAACUUUUUUUCUCACACGGUCUGCAGCUAAACCCACUACAAUGACACACAAAAUGAUGUAUCACUUUGUCAAAUAUUGGCAUUAAUAGAUUGAUGCCUCAUUACAGAAUACUUGUUCCAGAGGAUUCAGAGGAAGAAUUUGAGCAAAAAAAUAAGUUUCCCAACACUACAAACUUCAUAUACUUUUUGGAGGACAGAAGGGGGAGGAGAAAGGUUGAAUCAAGCUGCUUUUGUCACUCUGUCCUUGUCAAAUAAGCCAGAAUAUCAUACUGUAUUUGCUUAGUUAAAUCCACUGGCUAUUUUUACAUAGCUUUUACAUGAAUCUCGACACCCAGAACCAAAUCAGCUACUCAAUGUUAAGGCUGUAACGAGAUACUUCUUUUCCAUAACAGUUUGCAUUAAAUCUAUUUUUUCUAUCACAAAAUCUUGUUUCUUAUACAUCUCCAUAAAAGGUUUUCUUAAACAGACAAACACCUUCUUGACCCUUUACAUCUUUUCAGUGGCAAUGUGGCUCCCAACAGCGGUGGUACUGUUUCUGGGUGCAGCACCUGACCUCUUCUUCAGCCAGCAGUCCUUGGAUGAGUCCUUCGACUUCUCGGGUGUCACUGAACCAUCUCACUGCUCAAAGGGAUUCGUGGUUGACAAAUACUUUUUCUGGAAUGACAUUCUGAAGGUGUAUGAACGGGACCUACAUCAUUGCCAGCUUGCCUGCACUAACCCUAACCCUACUUCAGCUACGUGGUUAAAGAGUAUAACCUAUUUGAGUAUCUGGGUUGUCUGUUUGAGUGGAGUUCACACUACUUCUUUUGGUAAUUAGUUGAAGGAUGGGGUUAGAGAAAUGUCACCCCUCUCAAAUGCAGAGCUAAGGAUUCAUGCACUGACUAUGCAUGAGAUCAAAAUGAUAUGCAGUAUUUGUUAACAAUUACAUUGAUUACAUUUAUUUUAAUGUUAAACAGAAAUGACAUAGGAAGUGCAUCUGUCAUGACUUCCGCCGAAGUCGGUCCCUCUUCUUGUUUGGGCGGCGUUCGGCGGUCGACGUCACCGACCUUCUAGCCAUCGCCGACCCACUUUUCAUUUUCCAUUUGUUUUGUCUUUGGUUUACACACCUGGGUUCAAUUCCACAAUUACAUGUUAAUUAUUUAACCCUAUGU